UUUCCGUAGGUGAACCCGCGGAAGGAUCAUUAUUGUAUAACCGAGGUGCGAGGGCUGUCGCUGACCCGAAAGGUCGUGCACGCCCGAGUGCCCUCACACACAUCCAUCUCACCCCUAUGUGCACCACCGCGUGAGUCCCCCUUUGGCUUGUUCGGAAGGGGGCUUACGUUUUCACACAAACUUUGUAUGCAGUGUAGAAUGUAUUUUUUGUUUUUGCGAUCACGCAAUCAAUACAACUUUCAACAACGGAUCUCUUGGCUCUC
rnacentral:misc_RNA from 1 species